GCCGGAGUGGUGAAAUUGGUAUACACGAGGGAUUCAAAAUCCCUUGCACGAAAGUGCGUGCCGGUUCGAGUCCGGCCUCCGGUACCA
rnacentral:tRNA from 5 species